GACGAACGCUGGCGGCGUGCUUAACACAUGCAAGUCGAACGGACCGAUCCGGGUUGUUGGCGGUUGGGAAAGUAUAGUGGCGGACGGGGGCGUAACGCGUGGGCAAUCUGCCCGUAAGUCGGGGAUAACAGGGCGAAAGUUCUGCGAAGACCGGAUACUCUUAACUAGCCGCACGGUUGGUAAAGGAGAGGGAACGUUGAGGGAUGGGCCCGCGUCCCAUUAGUUAGUUGGUGGGGUAACGGCCCACCAAGGCAACGAGGGGUAGCCGGUCUGAGAGGGUGAGCAGCCACACUGGGACUGAGACACGGCCCAGACUCCUACGGGAGGCAGCAGUAGGGAAUCUUCGGCAAUGGGCGAAACCCUGAUCGAGCAACGCCGCGUGAGUGACGAAGGUCUUAGGAUCGUAAACCUCUGUCAUCGGGGACGAUAAUGACGGUACUCGAAGAAGAAGCCCCGGCUAACUACGUG
rnacentral:rRNA from 1 species